rnacentral:rRNA from 1 species
AAUACGUUCCCGGGCCUUGUACACACCGCCCGUCAAGCCAUGGAAGUUGGGAGUACCUGAAGUCGGUGACCGCAAGGAGCCGCCUAGGGGUAAAAAACCAAAUGACUGGGGCUU